CGGAGGGUGCGAGCGUUGUUCGGAAUUACUGGGCGUAAAGCGCGGGCAGGUGGUCCUUUAAGUCCUUUGUGAAAUCCCGGAGCUCAACUCCGGAUGUGCAUAGGAUACUGGAGGACUGGAGACUGGUAGAGGCGAGCGGAAUUCCUGGUGUAGCGGUGGAAUGCGUAGAUAUCAGGAAGAACACCGGUGGCGAAGGCGGCUCGCUGGGCCAGUUCUGACACUCAUCCGCGAAAGCGUGGGGAGCAAACAGGAUUAGAUACCCUGGUAGUCCACGCUGUAAACGAUGGGCACUAGAUGCCGGGCCUAUAGACGGGUUCGGUGUCGCAGCUAACGCAUUAAGUGCCCCGCCUGGGGAGUACGGCCGCAAGGCUG
rnacentral:rRNA from 1 species